GACAGAGGGUGCUAGCGUUGUUCGGAAUUAUUGGGCGUAAAGAGCUCGUAGGCGGUUUGUCGCGUCUGCUGUGAAAACUCGGGGCUUAACUCCGGGCCUGCAGUGGGUACGGGCAGACUAGAGUGCGGUAGGGGAGACUGGAAUUCCUGGUGUAGCGGUGAAAUGCGCAGAUAUCAGGAGGAACACCGGUGGCGAAGGCGGGUCUCUGGGCCGUAACUGACGCUGAGGAGCGAAAGCGUGGGGAGCGAACAGG
rnacentral:rRNA from 1 species